rnacentral:rRNA from 1 species
CUCCUACGGGAGGCAGCAGUGGGGAAUCUUGCGCAAUGGGCGAAAGCCUGACGCAGCAACGCCGCGUGCGGGAUGACGGCCUUCGGGUUGUAAACCGCUUUCAGUGGGGACGAACCAAGACGGUACCCACAGAAGAAGCCCCGGCCAACUACGUGCCAGCAGCCGCGGUAACACGUAGGGGGCAAGCGUUGUCCGGAUUCAUUGGGCGUAAAGAGCUCGUAGGCGGUUCGAUAAGUCGGGUGUGAAACCUCCAGGCUCAACCUGGAGACGCCACCCGAUACUGUCGUGACUAGAGUCCAGUAGGGGAGCGUGGAAUUCCUGGUGUAGCGGUGAAAUGCGCAGAUAUCAGGAGGAACACCAGCGGCGAAGGCGGCGCUCUGGGCUGGAACUGACGCUGAGGAGCGAAAGCGUGGGGAGCGAACAGGAUUAGAUACCCUGGUAGUCCACGCCGUAAACGUUGGGUACUAGGUGUGGGGUCUUAUCAACGGAUUCCGUGCCGCAGCUAACGCAUUAAGUACCCCGCCUGGGGAGUACGGCCGCAAGGCUAAAACUCAAAGGAAUUGACGG